rnacentral:rRNA from 1 species
UUAAGCAUAUCAAUAAGCGGAGGAAAAGAAACUAACAAGGAUUCCCCUAGUAACUGCGAGUGAAGCGGGAAAAGCUCAAAUUUAAAAUCUGGCAGUCUCUGGCUGUCCGAGUUGUAAUCUAGAGAAGUAAUGCCCGUGCUGGACCGUGUAUAAGUCUCCUGGGAUGGGGCGUCAUAGAGGGUGAGAAUCCCGUCUUUGACACGGACUACCAGUGCAUUGUGGUAUGCUCUCAAAGAGUCGAGUUGUUUGGGAAUGCAGCUCAAAAUGGGUGGUAAAUUCCAUCUAAAGCUAAAUAUUGGCGAGAGACCGAUAGCGAACAAGUACCGUGAGGGAAAGAUGAAAAGAACUUUGGAAAGAGAGUUAAACAGUACGUGAAAUUGCUGAAAGGGAAACGCUUGAAGUCAGUCGCGUUGGCCGGGAAUCAGCCUUGCUUUUGCUUGGUGUACUUUCUGGUUGACGGGUCAGCAUCAAUUUUGACCGCUGGAAAAAGGCCUGGGGAAUGUGGCAGCUUCGGCUGUGUUAUAGCCCCUAGUCGCAUACAGUGGCUGGGAUUGAGGAACUCAGCACGCCGCAAGGCCGGGUUUCGACCACGUUCGUGCUUAGGAUGCUGGCAUAAUGGCUUUAAGCGACCCGUCUUGAAACACGGACCAAGGAGUCUAACAUGCCUGCGAGUAUUUGGGCGGAAAACCCAAGUGCGUAAUGAAAGUGAAAGUUGAGAUCCCUGUCGUGGGGAGCAUCGACGCCCGGACCAGAACUUUUGGGACGGAUCCGCGGUGGAGCAUGUAUGUUGGGACCCGAAAGAUGGUGAACUAUGCCUGAAUAGGGUGAAGCCAGAGGAAACUCUGGUGGAGGCUCGUAGCGAUUCUGACGUGCAAAUCGAUCGUCAAAUUUGGGUAUAGGGGCGAAAGACUAAUCGAACCAUCUAGUAGCUGGUUCCUGCCGAAUUCCCCUC